rnacentral:rRNA from 1 species
AUUGAACGCUGGCGGCAGGCCUAACACAUGCAAGUCGAACGAGUGGCGGACGGGUGAGUAAUGUCUGGGAAACUGCCUGAUGGAGGGGGAUAACUACUGGAAAAGGUAGCUAAUACCGCAUACCAUCGGAUGAGCCCAGAUUGGAUUAGCGGGUGGGUGGGGUAACGGCUCACCUAGGCGACGAUCCCUAGCUGGUCUGAGGGGAUGACCAGCAACACUGGAACUUGGCCACGGCCCAGAUCCCUACGGAAGGCAGCGUUGGGGAAUAUUGCCCAAUGGGCGCAAGCCGGAUGCAGCCAUGCCGCGUGUAUGAAGAAGGCCUUCGGGUUGUAAAGUACUUUCAGCGGGGAGGCGUUACCCGCAGAAGAAGCACCGGCUAACUCCGUGCCAGCCGCCGCGGUAAUAC